UACGGAGGGGGCUAGCGUUGUUCGGAAUCACUGGGCGUAAAGCGCACGUAGGCGGCUUUCUAAGUCAGGGGUGAAAUCCUGGAGCUCAACUCCAGAACUGCCUUUGAUACUGGAGAGCUUGAGUCCGGAAGAGGUGAGUGGAACUCCGAGUGUAGAGGUGAAAUUCGUAGAUAUUCGGAAGAACACCAGUGGCGAAGGCGGCUCACUGGUCCGGUACUGACGCUGAGGUGCGAAAGCGUGGGGAGCAAACAGG
rnacentral:rRNA from 1 species